ACCCCGCCUGUUUACCAAAAACAUCACCUCUAGCAUUUCAAGUAUUAGAGGCACUGCCUGCCCAGUGAAUUAAUUUUAACGGCCGCGGUAUCCUGACCGUGCAAAGGUAGCAUAAUCACUUGUCUCCUAAAUAGAGACUUGUAUGAAUGGCAAAACGAGGGUUUAACUGUCUCUUUUUCUCAAUCAAUGAAAUUGACCUACCCGUGCAGAGGCGGGUAUAACUUUAUAAGACGAGAAGACCCUGUGGAGCUUAAAAUUACAACUUAAAUUAAUUUAUACUAUACCCUAAGGGAUUAAUCUUACAAAACUUUUUAAGCUGAAUUUUUGGUUGGGGUGACCUCGGAGCACAAGCAACCCUCCGAAUGACAUAACUAAGACUAACACAUCUAAGUGCAACCUAAGCCAGUAAUUGACCCAAAACUUGAUCAACGGAACAAGUUACCCCAGGGAUAACAGCGCAAUCCUAUUUAAGAGCCCAUAUCGACAAUUAGGGUUUACGACCUCGAUGUUGGAUCAGGACACCCCAAUGGUGCAGCCGCUAUUAAAGGUUCGUUUGUUCAACGAUUAAAGUCCUACGUGAUCUGAGUUCAGACCGGAGAAAUCCAGGUCGGUUUCUAUCUAUAUAAUAAUUUCUCCUAGUACGAAAGGACAAGAGAAUUAAGGCCAACAUUACCAACAAGCCUUACAACUAACUAAUGAUCUUAUCUCAAUUAGUUAAUGCAAGAUUUUAUUACUCUAGAGAAGAGUUAUUAAGGUGGCAGAGCAGGUAAUUGCAUAAAACUUAAGCCUUUACUAU
rnacentral:ncRNA from 1 species